rnacentral:misc_RNA from 1 species
CUGUGAACGCCGGUUCGCCGGCCUACACACCCCUUGUGUUACCCUCUGGUUGCUUCGGUGGGCCGUGUUCCGACACCAUCGCUUCGGGGAUGAGUGCCCACCGAUGACCCCCAAACUCCGGCUGACCGUUGUCUGAGUACACAUCUAAUCAACA